GUUGAAAUCAUGGCGACUUCUAAACCACCGAGGACGCCGGCGGAGAUCGAGGAUAUAAUUCUUCGGAAAAUUUUACUUGUAUCUCUAGUUGAUUCAAUGGAAAAUGAUACACGCGUUGUGUAUUUAGAGAUGACGGCGGCCGAGAUUUUGAGCGAGGGCAAAGGAUUAAGGUUGUCUAGGGAUUUGAUGGAGAGGGUUUUAAUCGAUCGGCUUUCUGGUAAUUUUGUGUCCGCGGAACCACCUUUUCAGUAUUUGGUCAACUGUUACCGUCGGGCUCAUGAAGAAGGGAAAAAAAUUGCGUCGAUGAAGGAUAAGAAUGUUAGGUCUGAGAUGGAAUUGGUGGUUAAGCAAGUAAAGAGACUUGCUGUAUCAUACUGUAGGAUACAUUUAGGAAAUCCUGAUAUGUUUCCCAAUUGGGAUAUGGCACCAGCAAAUGUAUCUCCGUUGCUUCCUUUGUUGUUUUCUGAGGUUUCAAGUUCUGUGGAUGUGUUUGGUGGGAGUAGUGGUAGUGGAGUGUCGAGUCCACCUGGGUUUUUGGAUGAGUUAUUAAAGGAUGCGGAUUUUGAUAGUAUGGACCCAAUACUGAAGCAGUUGUAUGAGGAUUUGAGAGGGACCGUGCUAAAGGUUUCAGCUUUGGGUAAUUUUCAGCAGCCUCUUAGAGCUUUAUUAUUUUUGGUUAAGUAUCCAGUAGGGGCCAAGUGUCUGGUGAAUCAUCCUUGGUGGAUUCCAAAUAGUGUUUAUAUGAAUGGAAGAGUUAUCGAGAUGACAAGCAUUUUGGGUCCUUUCUUUCAUGUCAGUGCUUUACCUGAUCAUGCAAUCUUCAAGAGUCAGCCGGAUGUUGGCCAGCAGUGUUUCUCGGAAUCGGCUACACGUCGUCCUGCUGAUCUCUUGUCUUCUUUCACAACAAUCAAAACUGUUAUGAAUAACUUGUAUGAUGGCUUGGCAGAAGUCCUUAUGUCUCUUCUGAAAAAUUCAACCAUUCGUGAAAAUGUCCUUGGAUAUCUUGCAGCAGUUAUAAACAAAAAUUCCUCAAGGGCACAGUUGCAGGUUGAUCCAUUAUCUUGUGCUAGUUCAGGAAUGUUUGUCAAUCUCAGUGCCGUUAUGCUUCGGCUCUGUGAACCUUUCUUAGAUGCCAAUUUGACAAAACGGGACAAGAUUGAUCCCCAAUAUGUGUUCUCUAGCACCCGUCUGGAACUGAGGGGGUUGACUGCUAUGCAUGCAUCAUCAGAAGAAGUCUCUGAUUGGAUAAAUCAAAAUAAUCCUGGGAAAGUUGACGUCGCUAAAGAAGGCAGCGAUGGAGAAAAUCGGUUGUUGGCAUCUCAGGAAGCCACAAGCUCUGGGAAUGAUUCUGGUGGACCUUCAAUUCUCCAAUAUAACAACCCAAUAUCAAGUAGUAGUGAGAAAGCUAAAUACCCCUUCAUAUGUGAAUGCUUCUUCAUGACUGCACGGGUGCUCAACCUGGGCCUCCUAAAAGCAUUUUCAGAUUUUAAGCAUCUUGUUCAGGACAUUUCAAGAUCCGAAGAUAAUUUGUCUACCAUGAAAACCAUGCUAGAACAAACACCCUCGCCACAGUUGCAGCAGGAAAUAUCUCGCUUGGAAAAAGAUCUUGAAUCGUAUUCACAGGAGAAAUUAUGCUAUGAAGCCCAAAUAUUGAGGGAUGGAGGGCUUCUACAGCGUGCAUUAUCCUUCUACAGGUUGAUGGUUGUUUGGUUGGUCGGGCUUGUUGGUGGUUUUAAGAUGCCUUUACCUUCCCCUUGCCCUAUGGAGUUUGCAUCUAUGCCUGAGCACUUCGUUGAAGAUGCCAUGGAGCUGCUAAUUUUUGCUUCUCGAAUUCCCAGAGCUUUGGAUGGUGUCUUGCUGGAUGACUUCAUGAAUUUCAUUAUCAUGUUCAUGGCAAGUCCAGAAUAUAUCAGAAACCCUUACCUUAGAGCGAAGAUGGUUGAAGUCCUGAACUGUUGGAUGCCCCGCAGAAGCGGCUCUACUGCAACGUCUACUUUGUUUGAGGGGCAUCGACUCUCUCUGGAGUACCUUGUGAAAAAUCUUUUGAAGCUUUAUGUUGACAUUGAAUUUACAGGUUCUCACACACAGUUCUAUGAUAAAUUUAAUAUCCGCCACAACAUUGCUGAACUACUUGAAUAUCUUUGGCAAGUUCCAAGUCACCGGAAUGCAUGGAGACAGAUUGCCAAGGAGGAGGAGAAGGGUGUUUAUUUGAAUUUCUUGAACUUCUUAAUUAAUGAUAGCAUUUAUCUUCUCGAUGAAAGUCUUAAUAAAAUUCUUGAACUAAAAGAGCUGGAAGCUGAAAUGUCUAACACAGCGGAAUGGGAGCAAAGACCAGCUCAAGAAAGGCAGGAGAGAACCCGUCUGUUCCAUUCACAAGAGAAUAUAAUUCGAAUUGAUAUGAAGCUGGCAAAUGAAGAUGUGAGCCUGUUAGCAUUUACUUCAGAACAAAUUACUGUCCCUUUUCUUCUUCCUGAGAUGGUGGAAAGAGUUGCUAGCAUGUUAAAUUACUUUUUACUACAGCUGGUGGGCCCACAAAGAAAAUCUCUUAGCUUGAAAGAUCCUGAAAAGUAUGAAUUCCGCCCGAAAGAGUUGCUGAAACAGAUUGUGAAAAUAUAUGUGCAUUUAGCGAGAGGAGAUAAGGAGAAAAUCUUUCCAGCUGCAAUUAUAAGAGAUGGCCGAUCGUACAGUGAUCAGAUAUUUAGUGCUGCAGCUGAUGUCCUUAGAAGAAUCGGUGAAGAUAUGAGGAUCAUACAAGAGUUCAUCGACCUUGGUGCAAAGGCCAAGAUUGCAGCUUCAGAAGCAAUGGAUGCUGAGGCUGCUCUUGGAGACAUUCCCGAUGAAUUCCUUGAUCCAAUCCAAUAUACUUUAAUGAAGGAUCCUGUCAUUCUUCCUUCUUCGAGGAUAACAGUUGACCGGCCUGUCAUUCAACGGCACCUUCUUAGUGAUAGUACGGAUCCAUUUAACCGGUCUCAUCUGACUGCGGACAUGUUGAUUCCCGACACCGAGUUGAAGGCUAAAAUUGAAGAGUUCAUCCGGUCCCAUGAACUGAAGAAGCCCGGGGAGGAUUUGAAUUUGCAACACACAAAAACAACCAUACAAACAACUGAUACUUCAAAUUUGAUUGAGUAGGAUUUCUCUUUUUUCUGCUUUUAACCCUGAUCAUUGUAUUAUAUUUGAGUUCCAUGUGAUCAACGGUAAAACCUGUGUUGGUAAAACAUAGAAAACCUGUUUUCUUUUUUUCCCUUUUUGUAUGGAUAAUUCUUCUUUUUUAUUUGUCAGGGUCCCCAAUAACUAUAGGAAUUUUAUGUUUUAUAAACAAAGGGAAUCUUCU
rnacentral:misc_RNA from 1 species